rnacentral:rRNA from 1 species
GACAGAGGGUGCAAACGUUGUUCGGAAUUACUGGGCGUAAAGCGCGUGUAGGCGGCGUAGCAAGUCGGGCGUGAAAGCCCACGGCUCAACCGUGGAAGAGCCACUCGAAACUGCUGCGCUAGAGUUCUGGAGAGGAAGGCGGAAUGCUUGGUGUAGAGGUGAAUCGUAGAUAUCAAGCGGACACCGGUGGCGAAGGCGGCCUCUGGACGGUGACUGACACUGAGACGCGAAGCGUGGGGAGCAACAGG